rnacentral:rRNA from 1 species
AUUUAUGGCCAUGCUACCCUGAACAAACCCAAUCCCAUCUAAUCUCGUAAGCUACACAAGGUCGGGCCUGGUUAGUAGUUGAAUGGGAGACCACUUAGGAAGACCAGGUGCUGUAGGAG